AUUGAACGCUGGCGGCAGGCCUAACACAUGCAAGUCGAGCGGAUGAAGGGAGCUUGCUCCUGGAUUCAGCGGCGGACGGGUGAGUAAUGCCUAGGAAUCUGCCUGGUAGUGGGGGAUAACGUCCGGAAACGGGCGCUAAUACCGCAUACGUCCUGAGGGAGAAAGUGGGGGAUCUUCGGACCUCACGCUAUCAGAUGAGCCUAGGUCGGAUUAGCUAGUUGGUGGGGUAAAGGCCUACCAAGGCGACGAUCCGUAACUGGUCUGAGAGGAUGAUCAGUCACACUGGAACUGAGAAACGGUCCAGACUCCUACGGGAGGCAGCAGUGGGGAAUAUUGGACAAUGGGCGAAAGCCUGAUCCAGCCAUGCCGCGUGUGUGAAGAAGGUCUUCGGAUUGUAAAGCACUUUAAGUUGGGAGGAAGGGCAGUAAGUUAAUACCUUGCUGUUUUGACGUUACCAACGGAAUAAGCACCGGCUAACUUCGUG
rnacentral:rRNA from 1 species